CUUAAUUCAGCCAAGUCUGUGCGGGUUAAGAUCAAGCUGAGUAAGGAGCCGCGCAGCACCGACAAAGGAAAAAAAAGAGGCAAAGUCGAGGGAAGGCCAAGCCGGUCGUCAGCGACGACGACAGCGACGAAGACCUGGAUGACAAUGAUCAGUCGGACAAGAGCGACGAUGACUGACCAAAGGAGGAUAUUGUUUAAAGCACUUAUAAACAAAAAGGACAAUAUCUUCCAUCACUGUUGUUUAGGUUCAUAUUCUGUAUUUUUCUUUUUUUCUUUUUUUUUGGACUCCAUUGUUCCUCUUUGCCUGUUUGUAGUCUGAUUGUUGUAACUUUCUCCUACCAGCUUGAAAAUGUAUUACUAGUAAUCAAUAAGCUACAGCAAUACCAAUCCGCUUAUAUUCCUGUUUUUAAGACAAUUUUUUAGUAUAUUUUUUAACUUUGUGCUUUAAAAAAGAC